rnacentral:rRNA from 1 species
UACGGGGGGGGCAAGCGUUAUUCGGAAUUACUGGGCGUAAAGCGCGCGUAGGCGGGUUGACAAGUCUGACGUGAAAGCCCACGGCUCAACCGUGGAACUGCGUGAGAUACUGUCUGGCUUGAGUACGGGAGAGGAGGGUGGAAUUCCCAGUGUAGCGGUGAAAUGCGUAGAUAUUGGGAGGAACACCGGUGGCGAAGGCGGCUCUCUGGACCGGUACUGACGCUGAGGCGCGAAAGCUAGGGGAGCAAACGGG